UGGUGGAGGUGAUGUUGAAGGAAGCUGGGAGUAUUGUGGGAUGUGGUCUCAGUGGUGGUGAUCAAAGAACUGUAGCUGGGAGUACUGUGGGAGGUUGUCUCGGUGGUGGUGAUUGAAGAAGUGAAGGGGGGAGUACUGUGUGAGGGGGUCUUGCUGGUGGUGAUUGAAGAAGUGAAGCUGGGAGUACUAUGUGAAGUGGUCUCCGUGGUGGUAAUUGAGGUAGUGAAGCUUGGAGUACUGUGUGAGGGGGUCUUGGUUGUGGCGAUUGAAGAAGUGAAGCUGGGAGUACUGUGGGAUGUGGUCUCCAUGCUGGUGAUCAAAGAAGUGAAGCUGGGAGUACUGGGUGGGGUGGUCUCGGUGGUGGUAAUUGAAGAAGUGAAGCUGGGAGUAUUGUGGGAUGUGGUCUCAGUGGUGGUGAUCGAAGAAGUGAAGCUGGGAGUACUGUGUGAGGUGGUCUCAGUGGUGGUGAUUGAAGAAGUGAAGCUGGGAGUACUGUGGGAUGUGGUCUCGGUGGUGGUGAUCAAAGAAGUGAAGUUUGGAGUACCAUGUGGUGGGAAUUGGUUAUGGAAGAAGUGGCUGGAAGUACUGAAGGAAUGGAAGAAGCAUAACUGGGUGUACUGUGUGAGCUGGUCUCGAUGGUGGUGAUUGAAGUACUGUGUGAGGGGGUCUUGCUGGUGGUAAUUGAAGAAGUGAAGCUGCGAGUACUGUGUGAGGUGGUCUCGGUGGUGUUGAUUGAGGUAGUGAAGCUGGGAGUACCGUUUGAGGGGGUUGUUGUCUUAGAAGUCACUGAUGUGGAGGUGAUUGAAGAAGUCUUGAGUAGAGUAGAUCUCACUGCUGUUUUGAAAGAUCCUGUGGUAGGAGUCAGUGUGGUGGUCUCAGGGGAUGUGGCUGCUGAACUGGUCAAUGUAGUCUGACCUGUGCCUUUAGUUGCUACAGUGGAUGAAGAUGUUUCCAUCGUUGUAAAGGUUGUGAAUGAGGUGUUGGUUAUGGGUGAUGGGGUGGAUCCAGCUGUUGUGUGGAGUAUACUGGUGACGGAUGGAGGUGAGGAGAUACUCUCGGUGUGAGUGGUCCCUGUACUGCUGGCAGACAUGGAAGAGGAAAAUGAAUAUGUUGCUGGGAAGCUCGUCAGGAGGGAAGUUGUCUGAGUGCCCUCAGUACUUGUGAGAGUUGGUCUCUCGCUGGGAGUGGUGGCAGAGGUCAUGCUGACAAGGGAUGAGGUUUCUGUAUUCUGGAUGUUGGGGGAAGAUGGGAUGUCACUUGUGGACACUGCUGAGGUACUGGAAACAGCAAAUGUUGAGGAGAGGACUGUUGUUGUAGUCAAGGAUUCAGUAGAGCUCACAGAAGAGUGGAUGAUAGUUGUGGGUGUUGUCGAAGGGAUGUCUGUAGUCAGAGAAGAUGGGGUCAUGGUUGUGGAAGUCACCAUGGUACCUGAGGUAGGCAAAGCUGAGGAGAUGGCAGUUGUGGUUGUACUGCUUGUGGAGUAGAUGGUUGAAGAAGUGAAGCUGGGAACACUGUGGGAGGUGGUCUCAGGGGUGGUGGUUACCAAGGUUGUGAUAGGAGUCGUGGCAGUUUCUACGUUUAGGAGAGAGGAAGAGGUGGGUGAGAGAGAAGUCUCAGGGAACAAUGUACCUGUCAUACUUGUGGGGUAGCUGAUGUCGGUCGUGGAAUCUGUGGCUGUGCUAGUGGGAGAAGUAGUGUAGGUGGUCUCAGAUGUAGGUCUAGACCUGGUGAUGGUAGUGGGGAGUGUGGUCACCAAGGUGGAUAGAGGGGUAGUGUUGGUGUUAUGACUGGUGAUUGUUUCUGUGCUCAGGACAGGUGUAGAAUAUAAAAUGCUACUGGUGAGUGAUGAUAACAUAUUACUGGCUGUGGGCCAGGAAGUCGUUCUUGCCAUAGAAGUCACUGUAUUGGUGGGAGUGACUGAAGAAGUGAUGGGAGGAGUAGAAGUCAUGGCUGUUGUGAGAGAUUCUGUGGACAUGUCAGUUGUAGGAGUCAGUGUGGUGGUCUCAGGGAAUGUGGCUACAGAGCUGGGGAAGGUGGUCUGACCUGUGCCUGUAGUUGCUACAGUGGUUGAAGGUGGUUCCAUCAUUGUGGAUGUGGUGAAUGAGGUGGUGGUUGUGGGUGAUGGGGUUGAUUCUUCUGUUGUGUAGAGUGUACUGGUGCUGGCUGGAGGUGACAAGAUACUCUCUGUGUGAGUGGUCCGGGCACUGCUGGCAGGCAUGGAAGACGAAAAUGAAUACGUCCCAGAGAAGGUCAUCAGGAGGGAACUUGUCGGAGUGCUGUGUGUACUAGCAAAAGUUGGCCUCCCACUGGGAGUGGUGGCAGAGGUCAUGCUGACAAAGGAUGAGGUUUCUGUAUUCUGGACAGUGGGAGAUGAGGGAACGACAGUUGUUGGCCUUGCAGACAUGUUGGAUACUGUGUACACUGAGGUGAGGUCUGUCAUUACAGGUAAUGAACCAGUGAUGCCCACAGAUGAUGGAGUGAUGGUUGUUGGUUGUGAGGUAGGGAUACCUGUACUCUGAGUAAAUGGAAUCAUGGAUGUAGAAGCCACCAUGGUACCCAAGGUUGUGGGAACUGAGGUGACGGCAGUUGUAUAUGUGCUGUCUGUGGAGUAGAUGGUUGAAGAAGUGAAGCUGGAGGUACUAUGUGAGGUGAUCUUGGUGGUGGUGGUGGUGGUUACCAAGUUUGUGGUAGGAGUUUUGGCUGUUUCUGCGGUUGAGACCAAGGGAGAGGUGGGUGGAAUAGAGGUGGCAGUGGAUGAUGUCUCUGUCAUAGUGGUGGGAUAGGUGAUUUCAGUCGUGGAGUUUGUACCAGGGCCACUUGGAGAAUUAGGAUAGGUGGUCUCAGAUGUAGUCAUAGAUGAAACAUUUGUAGUGGGGAGUGUGGUUACCAAGAUAGAUGGAGGGAUUGUGUUUGUGGUGCCACUGGUGAUUGCUUCUGUGCUUGGGACAGGUAUAGAAGACAGAGUCAUACUGGUCAGUGAUGUAAAAUAAUUGGUGGUUGUGAGAGGAGAGGUGGUACUUGUCACAGAAGUCACUGUAUUUGUGGAAGUGACUGAUGAAGUAAUGGGAGGAGUGGUCACAGCUGUUGUGAGAGAUUCUGUGGACAUGUCAGUUGUAGGAGUCAGUGUGGUGGUCUCAGGGAAUGUGGCUGUAGAGCUGGGGAAGGUGGUCUGACCUGUUCCUGUAGUUGCUACAGUGGUUGAAGGUGGUUCCAUAGUUGUGGAAGUUGUGAAUGAGGUGGUGGUAGCAGGUGACAGGGUGGAUUCCACUGUUGUGUGGAGUGUACUGGUGAUGGCUGGAGGUGAGGAGAUACUCUCUGUGUGAGUGG
ensembl:lncRNA